UCGAGAAUCUUCCGCAAUGGGCGCAAGCCUGACGGAGCGACGCCGCGUGAUGGAUGAAGUGCUUCGGCAUGUAAACAUCUUUUGUACGCAAGAAAGUAAUUGAUCAGCGUAAGAAUAAGGAGUUGCUAAACUCGUGCCAGCAGCAGCGGUAAUACGAGUGCUCCAAGCGUUAUCCGGAAUCAUUGGGCGUAAAGGGUGUGUAGGCGGUUGUGUUAGUCUUCUGUUAAAUUCUUCGGCUUAACCGGGGGCAUGCAGGGGAAACGGCACAACUAGAGGAUGCGAGAGGUGAAUGGAACUCAUGGAGUAGGGGUGAAAUCCGUUGAUAUCAUGGGGAACACCAAAUGCGAAGGCAAUUCACUGGCGCACUCCUGACGCUGAGACACGAAAGCGUAGGUAGCGAAUGGGAUUAGAUACCCGCGUAGUCC
rnacentral:rRNA from 1 species